CUACGGGUUGCAGCAGUGGGGAAUUUUGGACAAUGGGCGCAAGCCUGAUCCAGCCAUGCCGCGUGCAGGAUGAAGGCCUUCGGGUUGUAAACUGCUUUUGUACGGAACGAAACGGCUCUUUCUAAUAAAGGGGGCUAAUGACGGUACCGUAAGAAUAAGCACCGGCUAACUACGUGCCAGCAGCCGCGGUAAUACGUAGGGUGCAAGCGUUAAUCGGAAUUACUGGGCGUAAAGCGUGCGCAGGCGGUGAUGUAAGACAGAUGUGAAAUCCCCGGGCUCAACCUGGGAACUGCAUUUGUGACUGCAUCGCUGGAGUGCGGCAGAGGGGGAUGGAAUUCCGCGUGUAGCAGUGAAAUGCGUAGAUAUGCGGAGGAACACCGAUGGCGAAGGCAAUCCCCUGGGCCUGCACUGACGCUCAUGCACGAAAGCGUGGGGAGCAAACAGGAUUAGAUACCCGUGUAGUC
rnacentral:rRNA from 1 species